UCCUAUCUAUUAACAAUAGAAACCGCUUCACAUAAUACUGUUAGGGGCAAAAGAGGCGCGUACCCAGCACCUUCUCCCUCGUCCCCCGACGCUGUAGCUUCAAGAAAAUUGCGCGUUUUUCAAAUCCCUCUCCAACUGAGAAUCUCACUUUUGUCCUUCAUCACUCAUCACACAAGUUUUCCAUCCACCUUAUAAAUACCCUAAUCAAUGGAAGGCAUGGAGAAUGAAGGUUAGGGUUGUAAGGAUUCCUCAUCUCAAUUCUUGGCGACGAGAUUCAAUGGACAACUUUAGAAGACAAUUGUGAGUUGUGGAAGAUCCCAUGAUUGUUCCAGCUAUUGCAACAGGAAAUAAUGGCAGAAAGUUUGGUAUGAGAGAUGAAAAUUGCUUGACUACAUAUAUGUAUGUAAGGAGCUAAAAGUAAUGGAAAGAAGAAAAAUUAUAGCUUUCGGGGAUUUUGGUCAUCGAGCAUUUCACAAAGGAGUUUGGAGCUUUUGUCAUUCUCGUAGUUCAUGGAGAAAAAGAAACAUUGUUUAAGGUUUUAGAACCAGCAGUCGCUGAAUACUUUUCAUUUUUGUUUUCCAAUAAUGCAAAUACGAGAUCUAUUUAUUUUUUGGAUUUUCAAUUCAGCAGUUAACUUAUCAUUAUUAAUAUUUUUUUUGUGGUUAGAACACAUUGGAUAAAAUGGGUUGCUAGCUAUUUCCUGAAAUAAAAUUACAUUUACCAAUAUUGUAUAGCUUUAUGUUCAAUUUCAAUUUCAUUUGUAAUGUGUGGCUGUUGUUCAAUUUCAAUUUCAAUAUUGUAUAGCUUUAUGUUCAAUUUCAAUUUACAUUUACCAAUAAAAUUACAUUACCAAUUUUGAAUCCCAGUUAAUGCCUUAGACUCAAUGAAAUGUGUGGCUGCUGUAAAAAGGAAAGGAGAAGUGCAAGAAGAGGAUAUUUGCAUGAAGUUUCUUACUUCCUUUUCAUUGAUGAAGAAAGAGGUGAGUGAAGAUCCAUUCAUCUUGCUUCUUGCAAAGGUAGUAGAAGUUUUAUGUAUUUUGAUUGUCUUAAUUUAAUUUUUUUCCCGGUUGAUUUGGAAGAAGCUGAAUACAUAGUGUUCAAGUACAUAUGGUGAAUAGAGGAGGAAUAGAGAAAUACAACUUAUGAUAUGAGGUUGGGACUUGGGAAUUUGUAAGAAUGUGACAAAUUAACUAUAUCUUUAUGAAUUGUUGAUGUCAAACAUGAAUACAAGAUUGAUCAAGUAGUUGGUACUUAGAGAAAAUUUGUCUCAAUGAUGAAAUUGGUAAUGUCCAUGUUAAGAAAGAUUGUGAAGGCUGUGAAAAUUGACAAUGAUGAAUAUGAGUUUAAGAUUGUGAAGGUUGUGUCAA